AUUGAACGCUGGCGGCAUGCUUUACACAUGCAAGUCGAACGGUAACAGGCCUUCGGGUGCUGACGAGUGGCGAACGGGUGAGUAAUGCAUCGGAACGUACCCAGAGGUGGGGGAUAACGCAGCGAAAGCUGUGCUAAUACCGCAUGUGAUCUGAGGAUGAAAGCGGGGGACCGAGCAGCAAUGUUUGGCCUCGCGCCUUUGGAGCGGCCGAUGUCGGAUUAGCUAGUUGGGGGGGUAAAGGCCUACCAAGGCGACGAUCCGUAGCUGGUCUGAGAGGACGACCAGCCACACUGGGACGGAGACAGGGCCCAGACUCCUACGGGAGGCAGCAGUGGGGAAUUUUGGACAAUGGGCGCAAGCCUGAUCCAGCAAUGCCGCGUGCGGGAAGAAGGCCUUCGGGUUGUAAACCGCUUUUGGCAGGAACGAAACGGUGUCCGCUAAUACCGGGCGCUAAUGACGGUACCUGCAGAAUAAGCACCGGCUAACUACGUG
rnacentral:rRNA from 1 species